rnacentral:lncRNA from 1 species
AUGAGGCUCAGAUGGGUUUUGAGGGGGAGAGGGGCCAUUGAACCAGGAUUCUGCACUGUGAAAAUCCACCGGGCAAUCCCCCACCCCUCCCGUGGACUGGCCCCUGCCCUGGAGUCAUUCCUAAUGGGAGACACACCCAGGAAACCACAGCGCGAAGACUCACACAGCCACCUCCCAACACCCAGCAACCAGCGGUGUUUGGUGAUGGCUUUGAGGAUGCAGGGCCCUGGAGGAGUGGGGUGGGGACCGGUCAGUCCGGGAGAGCUCCGCGGAGGAGGAGGGAGGGAGAGGCUGGGGGCGGGGCGUGCUCACCUCUGGGAAGGUGAGGCCUGGCCCCUUGGCUGGGACGCCUGGCCUGGGCCCCUGUUGCUCCAGGGGGAGCGCGGAGCCCAGCAGGUGGCAGCUGCUGUGAGGGGGCCUGCAAUGCGAUCUCCAGGGAAACAGCCGAGAAUAACCGCUCCGCCCAGGACCACUCCCUGGCUCGGCCGCCUUCCUCUCCCUGCGCGGGCUUUGCGCUCUGCGCCCGCCGUGGGCGCCCCUCACUCCCGCCCCCUCGCUCCUCCGUGCCCCUCCUGGACCACCAGCUCCCAGCGCGUGGGGAGUGGGCCCGGCCACCUGUCUUCCCUGGCCGCGGCCCCAUCACGAUCCCUCCCUCCCGCGCUGCUCCUGACAACAGAGCGGCCUCCCUCACGUCUCCGCCCCCACCCCCUCCUUCGGCUCUCUCCCGGCUCUCCGCUGCGCUGGCUGAUGGUGAUAAACCCGAUACUCAGAAGACAGCGGGUGAAAGAGACCACCUCUCCAUCCCCCUCCCUCUCUCUCUGUGUGUCUCUCUGUCUGCCCUCUGGCUCCUCUGUCCCACCCAGGGUACCUCGCCAGCCCCUGCCUCGCCUCCCAGUCUCUGCUCCUUGGCCUGCCCCAGCCCCAGCCCUGCCCCCUGCCUUCAGGAAGGCACAGCCAUGUGAGUCCCUGGGGGCAGGGCCGGGUCAGCUUCUGGGGUUUCCCCUGGCUAGAGCUAGCAGGAAGUCUGCCCUGCAGAGGGGAAACCUUAUUCUUGGCCGCUGUCCUGCUACUAAGCAAGACCAAAGUUCAGGGGAGGAGUCUGUUUUCUUGGUCAGCCGGGGACUCCCGCCGGCUUCUACUCCUUGGCAUUGGGCUGUAGCAAAGUCAAGGUUGGGGGAAGGGUGGGAGCUAGAGGGCGGUGGGGUUGACAGACACCACACUGCUCCCCCUGUCCCCAAGCCCUGUCAUGCUGCAGGGUGCUGGCUCCCUGGGUUGCUCCUUCUCUCCGGAGCUGGGCAUGUGUGCCAGGUGGGUGUGGCCUGGGCACACAGCACCUGCACCCCCAGGGUUGACAGACACCACACUGCUCCCCCUGUCCCCAAGCCCCGUCAUGCUGCAGGGUGCUGGCUCCCUGGGUUGCCCCUUCUUUCCGGAGCUGGGCAUGUGUGCCAGGCGGGUGUGGCCUGGGCGCACAGCGCCUGCACCCCCAGGGUUGAUAAGGGCACCACAGUAGUACCACCCAGUCUGCAUGGGAGUCCCAACUGUGGGCCCCGGGAAGAGCAGGUUUGGGGGCAUGGCCCGCGCGAGCUCUCACCGGGAGACAGCCAGGGGCAGGGCACGAGGGUAUCUGGAAGCUGGUCCCUUUUGAGGGCGCCUCGAGCUCCCCUUCCCUGGGGACAACGGUUGCCAUUGCACACUGAAGGUCUGUGA